GUGGGGAAUAUUGGACAAUGGGCGCAAGCCUGAUCCAGCCAUGCCGCGUGAGUGAUGACGGCCCUAGGGUUGUAAAGCUCUUUCAACGGUGAAGAUAAUGACGGUAACCGUAGAAGAAGCCCCGGCUAACUUCGUGCCAGCAGCCGCGGUAAUACGAAGGGGGCUAGCGUUGUUCGGAAUUACUGGGCGUAAAGCGCACGUAGGCGGAUAUUUAAGUCAGGGGUGAAAUCCCGGGGCUCAACCCCGGAACUGCCUUUGAUACUGGGUAUCUUGAGUAUGGUAGAGGUGAGUGGAAUUCCGAGUGUAGAGGUGAAAUUCGUAGAUAUUCGGAGGAACACCAGUGGCGAAGGCGGCUCACUGGACCAUUACUGACGCUGAGGUGCGAAAGCGUGGGGAGCAAACAGGAUUAGAUACCCGGGUAGUCC
rnacentral:rRNA from 1 species